GAGCAUCAAGAAACCUUUAGUCUCUGCAAAUAUACAUACACACACAAUUACAUUCCAAGGAAGAAGACUUAUCAAACUCAUGGCGAUGGGCUCCAAGAAGAUUCAGGUCUUCCUCACGGUUGCGCUGCUGAUGGCUCUCCUCGCCACAAUUGCGUCAGCGGGCAGGGGCAGUUUCAAGCUAGAGCCGGAAGCUAAAGCUCGAUGCAGCAGAGUAGGAGCCUGUUCGGCUAGCUUGUGCACGUCUACCUGCGACAAGCAUUCUUCAGGGUCAUGCACUAUCAAAGGCCAGUUCGUCUACUGCUGCUGUGACCCAGUACCGAUCGCCGACAGCCCUGAUGUUCAGCCGCCGCUUCUUCAUUGAUGCGUUGCCUAGCUUUUUCCUUGACGCGUAUGGUUGAGCAACUAUUGAUUAGUGGUUAGGCAGUUGCUGAGUAGUGGCAUCUAAUACAAGUCGUGGAUCGGAGUAUUGUGUGUUUUCGUACGUUUCUGAACCGGUGCGAUUUGUAUUUGGUGGUUUUAUUUUGAACAAGAGGAAAUGCAAGUCAUUCAGUUUUGUUUGAGAAGUUUCGUACCUGACCUAACUUAUGGC
rnacentral:lncRNA from 1 species